rnacentral:RNase_P_RNA from 1 species
CAGGUCGGACAGACAGUCGCCGCGUAUCGCGUAAGGCAUACGGGGAGGAAAGUCCGGGCUCCACAGAGCAGAAUGCCGGCUAACGGCCGGGCGCGGUAACGCGACGGAAAGUGGAACAGAAAGCAAUACCGCCGAUGAUUGCCUUCGGGCAAAACAGGUAAGGGUGAAAAGGUGCGGUAAGAGCGCACCGUGCAUUUGGUAACAAAGCGCAGCAGGCUAAACCCAUUCGGAGCAAGACCAAACAGAACGCGAUGACGCUGCUCGCCGAGCGUUCGGGUAGGUUGCUUGAGCACACCAGCAAUGAUGUGCCUAGAGGAAUGACUGUCCGCGACAGAACCCGGCUUACCGUCCGAGCUGUAUG